GUAGGGUGAUUCAGUGCUAGAAUCCUUGUCUACCACACAGGAGACUUGGGUUUGAUUCCCAGACACUUAUA
rnacentral:tRNA from 1 species